rnacentral:lncRNA from 1 species
CGGCUUCGAGGAAGCCGACACCCGACUUGUCCUUGUUUGGGACCUUGUUUGCUUUUUCUCCAUUUUUGGGCGAGGCCCCGGACGCGAAGCGCCAUUCGAGGGGCCGAGCCAGGUGUUCACUGCUGUCAGUCAGUCAGUCUGUCAGGGGCUUACAUAUCUUGCUCCGCAAAAAAUAGCGUUCAAAAGCUACAUCAAUUCUACAUCGAUUGUCCAAAGGAGAUAAUUCAGAUAAAUCGGAGCGCAAAGAUACCUUUCCAGGGUAAGAUAAAUUUACAUAUCCUGGGUGAACAGCAUCAGCCCCACUUUCUCUAAUUGCUG